rnacentral:rRNA from 1 species
AUUGAACGCUGGCGGCAGGCCUAACACAUGCAAGUCGAACGAGAGGCGGACGGGUGAGUAAUGUCUGGGAAACUGCGCGAGGGAGGGGGAUAACUACUGGGAACGGUAGCUAAUAACGCAUAGCAUCGGAUGGGCCGAGAUGGGAUUAGCUAGGAGGUGGGGUAACGGCUAACCUAGGCGACGAUCCCUAGCUGGUCUGAGAGGAUGACCAGCCACACUGGAACUGAGACACGGUCCAGACUCCUACGGGAGGCAGCAGUGGGGAAUAUUGCACAAUGGGCGCAAGCCUGAUCCAGCCAUGCCGCGUGUAUGAAGAAGGCCUUCGGGUUGUAAAGUACUUUCAGCGGGGAGGCGUUACUCGCAGAAGAAGCACCGGCUAACUCCGUGCCAGCAGCCGCGGUAAUAC